rnacentral:lncRNA from 1 species
UGAAUCUUUCACUGAAAUAGUAAUCCAUUAUAUCCAAGAUCUUGGUCCAUAUAGAAAAAAUCAAAACCUGUUAUCACAGAGAACAAACAAUGCAAAACAGAUGAACAAUAGAUGCCAAUUCACAUCUUGAAGAACAUCUUCAUAUUUACAAAUGAAAAAAAAUAAAAAUCGAGCACUUUCUUAAUUAACGGCUUUUCUUAAUUAUAUGAUAAAAACAUAUUCGAUUUGGGUAAAUAGGCCUAACCGGAUCAAACUUAAGAUAACUUAUUCAAAAGUGGUUAUUGCUUACUCCAAAUCACCAGAUUUUCUUAAGCAGUUGUUAAACAUACUCAAGCACUCGUUGAUCCCAUUUUCCAGCAGAAUAUUCCAUUAAAGAUGCUAACAUGUAUUGAUAAAGUAUAUAUAUCCAUGUAUUAUAUAAAAUAUAUAUGUGAA